AUUGAACGCUGGCGGCAGGCCUAACACAUGCAAGUCGAACGGUAACAGGAAGAAGCUUGCUUCUUUGCUGACGAGUGGCGGACGGGUGAGUAAUGUCUGGGAAACUGCCUGAUGGAGGGGGAUAACUACUGGAAACGGUAGCUAAUACCGCAUAACGUCGCAAGACCAAAGAGGGGGACCUUCGGGCCUCUUGCCAUCGGAUGUGCCCAGAUGGGAUUAGCUAGUAGGUGGGGUAACGGCUCACCUAGGCGACGAUCCCUAGCUGGUCUGAGAGGAUGACCAGCCACACUGGAACUGAGACACGGUCCAGACUCCUACGGGAGGCAGCAGUGGGGAAUAUUGCACAAUGGGCGCAAGCCUGACGCAGCCAUGCCGCGUGUAUGAAGAAGGCCUUCGGGUUGUAAAGUACUUUCAGCGGGGAGGAAGGGAGUAAAGUUAAUACCUUUACUCAUUGACGUUACCCGCAGAAGAAGCACCGGCUAACUCCGUG
rnacentral:rRNA from 1 species